rnacentral:lncRNA from 1 species
CAGGUGUCUUAACUUUUGGAAAUCCAGUCAGAUUGGCUGCUGAUAGCUGUAUGGCCGAAGUAGAUGUUGAAGAAAUUGCUUAAAGGUUUAAAAUGACUCCUCAUUGGAAUCACUUGGAAGAAAUGGACAACACUUGGAAAAUCUGCUUGAUAGCAAUCUGUGGAGGUUUCUUGAUAUGGUACAACUUUGAAGGCAGAACUACUGAUACAGUAACUCACAUGGAACUCUGAUAGAAGCCUCCUGGCCCUAAAUUCUCCAUUUCAUAUACCUGAAAGAGGUCAGACA